AGGGGGUGGGGGCGCGCGGGGCGGCGGGGAGCCGGGGCCGGGGCGCGCGGGGCGCGCGGGGCCCGAGGACGCACGCGGCCGGCCGGGCGGCGCGCGCUUCCCCCUCCCCCGCGGCCCGAGCGCGAGCCGCCGUGACGUCACGGGCCGCCCGCCAGCCCCGCGCUCCAGCGGGCAGAGCGCGUGCGGCCGCCGAGCACAUGGGCCCGCGGGCCGGGCGGGCUCGGGGCGGCCUGGACCCGGACGGGCGGCGAGGGGCCGCGCGCGGGGACGGGCCCCGGCACCCCCCGGGCCCCCCGAGCGGAUUUCCACGCCGAGAGGAUGUUGGCAGCGCCGGCGACCUGCCGAGACGCGGCGGGAUCCACCUUCCACCCUGAUCUUUGGACCAGAAAGGAAUUAAAAAGAUGCCCCUCACGUUGGCCGUGCCUGUCGGUUACAUGGAGCUCCAUUCAAGGAUUUUCGGAGCCUUUUGGAUUUACAGUGAUAUUCAGCUGCCUGGGGAAUAAAGUUGGUGGAAGCUUUCUCUGGAGUUACGUACACCCGACGCCUGUCUGGAUGCUACUGGCGGUUUUAAGGAAGGCCCUGGCUGAGUGCCUGGCGGAUCCCUGCAGCCUGGAUGCCCGUGGGAGACGGAGGACCGCGGCUUCCUGUGAGGGCUGACGACUCUGUCCUUCUGUCCUCCCGGAUGCCUGGUUGGGUCUCUGCCAGCCCCGCUGGGGGCUCCCUGUGACACAAUCCUGUCCUACCUGAGAUUUUGGUGCCUUCAAUAUGAAAAAAAUACGCAUCCCUCUGGUACUCUAGAGGAACUUGAGAACAGUUCUUCCCUGAACUAAAGCCAGACCAUUGUGGGAUUUGGAGACUAAAGGUGAGAGAACUGCUACUCAGGGAUGUUAAGUAACUCAGCAGAGGUCACACAGCUAAGUGACACAGAGGAGCGUCCCAAGUGGUGAAGACCAUUUUCCAUCACUGCUGUCCUCCACGAGCCUGUGUCUGGAAUGGGACCUGUCUUUGCGCUCAUGAACAGGUUGGAUGGGUAAGAUACCUGGAGGUGUAGCAGCCAUCUUGCAAGCAUGAGGAGACAAGUCAACAGAAUGAAAUGCCAGAGCAGAUAAGACAGAAAAAGCCUGGAUCUUUGAUAGCACGGUUGAGCUGUUCCACCAGCCCAAGACAGGAGUCUACAUCCAGACUGUCUGUUAUCGAAACAAUGGCCGCUUCUUUACGUCACUCCAGGUUGUCUUUCAUUUGCAGCGGAAAACGUUUCGAAUGGAUACCCAGACUUCCGCCAAAGCACAGCCAGUGUCGGGCUGUGUUGGGCUAGUACCGUGGUUAAGAGCCGAAAUUCCAGAGGCAGAAGUCCCAGGUUCCAAUCUCGGCUCCACCAUUACUAGGUAUAGGGCCUGGGCAAGUCAUUUAGCUCUUCCGUGACUCACUGGCCUUGUCUGCAAAAUGCUCAGCAAAGGUGUGGACCCAAGGCUCCACAUUUUACCCAUGAGACAACACUGAGCAGAGUUAAUCCGAAAUCACGCAGCUCCAGCUAGAAGCGGGAGAGCUGAGAUCUGACUCCACGUAAUCCCAGGCUCUGAGACCCUCGUUGCCACUGCACCAUGUCCAGCUGCCUGCCGACAGCGUGGAGACCUUGGGUGCGGCUCCUGGAAUCAGGUUGCCUGGGUUCCUAUCCCAGCUCAACUGUCGAACGGCAUGAUGAUCCAAGGUGCCCAUCUCUGAUGGCUAAAAUGCGGCUCGGCCCAAAGGACCCCUCCCUGAGCUUCACCCGCUGGCCCCGCAUCUGGAACAAUUAAAAUCCUCGUGGCCCCUGCUCUGAACGUUGAGGCCACCCUGUCCGCUGGAUUUCAUUUCCCCCCGAUUGCAGGCGUGUGGGCAGUUACAAGUUGAAAACCAGCAGCCAGCUUCAAAUACAUUUUCUUCAUGCCCUCUCUGAAGUACUUCGUUUUUCCUUUGACACCUUAAUUCUGCCACGCUAUUGCAGCAUGCUCAGAAUAGACUUCUCAAUGCCCUGCGGCUCUCACGGACAGAAUAACAGGCUUCCAGGUCCCUAUGCCCCAAGGAAGAGACUGACCAGGAACCCAUGAAGGCUGGGUUCAAUGAGACAAGUACAUCCUUGCAAGUAAAGGUGCAGGAAGUCAGCCAGGACUUCCAGGCGUGGAGCCUGGUCAUUUCUGUCUUGUUCGUGGCUUAGAACAGCGCCUGGAACAUGGUAAAUGGUUCAUAAAUGUUGGGGAGGAUAAACAGUCCCCUCUUCUGAAUGUCACACUGCCUGCUGUCCUCAGAGGCUCUGGCUUCCUGUGUCUCUUAGACUGUGAUGCCAUGAUGCCAACAGGAGGACACUUUCUGGCUUCCCUGGCUGCCUGCCAAGAUGCACUCAAGCCGUGAUGUACAGUCAACGGGGUACUUUUCGCCUCUGGUUUUCCAGAGUGGAGAGCACAUCAUUGCCAGGAAGUUUCUGCCUCACUCUUAGUUCCCCAGGGUGGCCUGCCAGUCACCGGCGUGGUACCUCAAACAAUGGAGAUGCAGGGGCCGUGAUUCCCUGCCUGUAUGUCAAGGUCUUCGACGCCCACUUGCGCAUGAGCUGGAAGAGGCGUGCCGGUCUCAGAGCGUGAAGAGCUGGCGAAGUCCCCACAGUUUCUCUCUGUCUCCUGGACCCACUUUCCCCUCUUCACAGUGGCUUCUUUGUGUCCCCCAAGGGGCCAUCUCCUGCCCCUCCAGCUCAUCUCCAGCUCGUGGCUUUGCUGACUCCUCACCUACCUGUGCUGUUUUCUGUACUGCAUAGAACUGGGUCCUCCAGGAAGACAUAUUGGAGUCCUGACCCACAGCAACUGUGAGUGUGACCUUAUUUGAAAAUAGGGUCUGUGCGGACAUAAUCCAGUUUAGAUGAAGUCAUUCUGGAUCAAGAUGGCCUCCAAUCCAGUCAUGGUGUCUUUGUAAGAGAGAUGGACAGAUGGGGAGAAGGCCGUGUGAAGGCAGGGGCAGACAUGGGUGGGGAAGCUUCUGCAAGCCAUGUGGUGUGUAAGGUUGCUGGCCCACCACAAAGGCUAGGGGAGGCCAGGAAGGACCUUGCCUUUCAGGUGUCAGAGGGAGCAUGGCCCCAUGGACACCUUGAUUCAAGACCUUCAUCCUCCGGAACUGCGACAGAAUAAAGUUCUAUGGUUUUAAGCCUCCCAGUCUGUGGAGCUUUGGCCACCCCAGGAGACCCACACACUCCCCUCCACCCUUCAGUCUCCUCCUCAGUGUCACCUCUUUGUUGAGUUACCCACCCGGGGCACAUUUUACCAUUCUUCCAUCAGGUGCUUAUUACCGUGUGUGAUUCUGUUUUGCAAGCUUCCCCUGGUGCUCAUAAGCCCUCUGCCGUGUCCAUAUUGCUCCCUGCGUGUCCUCAGUCUCUAAUACAGCAUCUGCACACACUGGGUGGGCAAUAAAGUAUUUGUAGGAUGCAUGCAUUGCAGUCCAGGGGAAUCUUCCAGACUUACAGAAUUAGUUCGUGUCAUAGAAUCUCCAGUCAGAAGAUGACCCUGGGUACUUCCCCUAGAAAUCCUCAAAGUGCAAUUAUUCAAAUCGAGUUGUUCAACCCAAGUCAGUUGCAGUAAAACAAGAGAGACUUGAGAGUCGACCCUGAGGGGCUGAUUCUCUGCAGCUCUUUUGGAGCAGAUGUGACCGGGAAAUCAAUACAGCCAUUAGAUUAAUCUGCGGCAACCAUAAUGUCAUUGCAUCUUUCGCCCUGUGAUGUUGACAGAGAUGUCAGAGCUAGGAGGAGGGGAGGCGCUUCAAAGAAGGAACGGGGCCUCCGAAGUGAAGGGGAGACUUGAAACCCCACGGAGCCUCACUUAACGGACGAAGGAUUGCGGGUGGCUGCCUCUGGCAUCAUCGGGUCUUCUGUCAGAGAAUGCGGUGACUUGGCAACGGGCAGAGCAGGGGGACCUGUAAAGCUCGGACAUCGGGAGGCCUCUCGGGAGGAUGAACUCGGCAGCAGUGGAGCAGUAGCCCGAGCAGUGGUUCUUAUCCAGGGGCACUUUUGCCACCACCCCCACCCCCCGCCCCACCCAAGAUAUUUGGCGAUGCCUGGAGACGGUGUUUGGCUGUCAUGACCUGUGUGUGUACGCAUGUGUGACUAGCGUCUGGCUCGUAGAAGCCAGGGAUGCUAUCCAACAUCCUGCUGUGCUCAGGACACCCCCCACAACGAAGACCUUUCCAGCCUGUGGUAGCAGCCGACAGUGCUGAGACCCAGGAAGUCGGGUGGAGACAGAAGUGGCUGAGCAGCCGGUGACUACAUUUCCUAGCAUCCCUUGGAGCUAGGUGUGGCCAUGUGACUGGUUCUCACCAACAGAGUGGGGACAGGAAUGCUGUGCCCACGCCCAGGUGCAAGGUUCUUGGUAAGUAGAUGGGCCUCUUUCCCGCCCCGCCCCGCACCCCCCUCACCUCCCAGGCUGGAUGAAGAGAACAGCAAGGUUAUUUGGUCUGGUGUUUUGUUUAUUCGUCAUAGACAUUUGUUUCUACAGAACAACUCAGAAGAUAAACCGAGGCACACGGAUGUAAUUGCCGCCACAAUCUGCUGCUGAGGAGACAUGCGACCCGAGGAUAAGGGGCUGGGAGCUGGAUGGGGUGUGUUGGGUCCCGGGAUAACUGGAGGCCCCUGUGAUGAACCACGUAGGGAUCCUAUCAGUCACGAUCUGACCCCCGGGCCUGAUGAUGACAGUGGAGCCACGCGGGGACCUAAAUCGCCAUGUGAGGAGAGCUGUCUGCCAGUCAGAGACACUCAGCUCGGACUUUCAUGAGAAAAGAUAAAGAGCAAAUGUUCAAGGAGGCCAGCAGGCCAGAGUUCAAGCAAGGAUUGUUUGAGCAUCUCCUGGGAACACCAUUGAAAGGAUUCUUAUGUUGGAUGGGAGGCUCAUUCCAAUGAGACACUGCAGCAGUUUUUCAACACACAGCUAAUUGCAUAAUGUAAGGUGAACCCAGGUUUUCAUCUUUGUUCAACUCUCAGAUUCUAUUUGUUCCAUUAAAAACCAUAUUGGCUUUGGAGACUCAUUUGGCAAUAUCACACUACAGCAACUUUACUCCUAAUUAUACUCCCCAGAGAACUCUCAUGUGCAAAGGAGAAAUGAAGCAUUUGUCAGAGCGCAAAACUGCUAAGCCAAGUGUACGUCCACAGGAGAAUGGACGAAAUGAACUCCUACAAAGAGCGUAAACGAACUAUAAAUAAGUGGAUUCGAGCGGCCUGUGCUACGUAUAAAUGAAUCUCAGAAACAGUCUUAAGCAUCAAAGCCGUCUCAAAAAGGUAGAUAUCGGAUGAUGUCACAAAUAAUGUUACAAAUUGUGCCAGUCAGGGUCCCAGUAGGAAACGAAAGGCGAACUUGGAAUUCUGGAAAGAAGGAAAGGAAGGCACUUUUUCCAGGGGUGGUAGGUGUGGCGGACUGUUGCAUGGCCACAGAUUCCCACAUCGCUCCUUCCGUCCCGCGGUGGAAUCUGUUUUUCCAUCCCCAUUCAUCUGGGCUGGUUUUGUGACUUGUCUUGAUGAGAGACUGUGGCAAAAGUGACUUCAGGUAGGCUACACCGGGCCUGAAGUUUUCUCCCUUCACACCUUUUUAAAAAAUGUUUUAUUUAUUUUUUGAGAGAGAGAGAGAGAGAAAGCAGGGGAGGGGGAGAGAGAGGGAGACAGCAUCAGAAGCAGGCUCUGUGCUGUCGGCGUGGAGCCUGACGCGGGGCUCAAACCCACGAACCUCGAGACCACGACUUGAGCCGAAGUCGGAUGCUUCGCCGACUGAGCCACCCCGGUGCCCCUCUGUUCACACUUUUGAAAUGCACUGACGUUACACAAAGGGGCCUGCACCAGCCUGCCAGAGGCCUUGUGGACAGAAAGACCCAACUGCCAGCCAGCGCUGACUGCCAGACCCGUGAGUGAGGCUGCCCGGGGCCCAGCCGGCCCCUAGCUGACCACGAGCAGGCUACCGAUGUACGAGGAGGGCAGCCAGAACCGCUCUGAGCCGAGCUUCCUAGCUGAGUCCAGCUCAGAUUACCAACCCACAGGGUUAGGAACAAAACGCUGGUUAAUAUUUUCAACUAUUAAGUUUUGGCGUGUUUCGUUGGGAGUAUAUAAUCCAUUUAGAAGGGUCAAGGAACCCGGAAGAGGAGCUCGGGCGUUGAAGUACAGUGGCAAGGUGCUCAACAUUUAUUGAGCAUAAUCUGUGCUGGGCUCUGUGCUGAGCAUUUUACAGGAGUUGGUUCCUUUGAUGUUCAUGAGCAUGCACAGAAGUGGAUGCAGUUAUUAUCCUGCCUGUGGUUCAGAGAGGUUGAGUCACUAGCCCAAGGUCACACAGCCAGCAGGUGAAAGAAUAUUCUUGAGCCCAAGUCUGGUUUCCUCUAAACUCAUGCUUUUCAUUACUAUACCUGGAUGUAAGGGUUUUGUUAUCCGAAAGACCUGGGUCUCAAUUUCCAGAACUUACCAGCUGUGUGAACUGAGGUGAUACUACUUGCUAGGCUCUGUGCUAUGUACUGUACGUCGUGUGGGCACAAAAGAGGAAGUGACCAGUUGUCUGUAGACCUGCGGCAGGGCCAGGCUUUCAGCACGAGGAACUCAGCGGGUCUGAAUGAAUCAUCAUGAAGAAGCAUAACUUGUUGAGGCUUCCCAAGACACGGAAAGGAAUCUGGCCGACCUCUGUGUCGAAGCUUUACGAGACAGGUGUGAGCGGUAAGAGACCUACCGUAUAUUUUCUCUCCGACUCUUUGUUUCCUGGUAAUGGUACACCUUCUGCACGUACACGAAGCUAGUCUGUGGUGAGAAAAAUCAGCAUUUGGAAGACCGGAACUUCGCUUGUCUCCUAAGAAGAACCUUACUUUUAUGUUGGGUGUGAAACCAGGAGCAUGUGCUGUGGCAGCAUGGAGAAGAGGGAUGUCAGGCUUCACUAGACCUGUCCACCCACAAAGCCAUUGUCACUUCAGGCAAGCCUCCUCACCAUUCCAGGCCUCCUGCUCUCUAACACGAGCAUUUAAAUACCCACCCACAGCAUUUAGAUGGUUAUUGCAAGUAAAAGAUGAAAUGAUUUCAUUGUAAUUAUUAUUAUGGUUACUUACUAUGGUCUCAGAGGAGAGUUCUUUAAGAUGCUGGAACUCUCUUGGGUCCAGGAGCGUGAGAACGAUUGUUCUUCUAUGACCAAUUCUUUCCAACUCUCCACAUAAAUCCAAACCAAAUGCAAAAGGGUAUAUUUAAAAACAUUUCUUACUUGACCACCGGGAGCUCUGAAUGGACUAGUGUAGAAGUUUGGGUCCUCUGAGAAGUACACACUAAGACAGGGUUAGAUGCCCAAGAGGGUCAUUGGAGGAAACACCUGUGAAGAGAAAGAGGGAGGAAGUAGGGGGAGGCAGGGAGAGACUUUAGACCCUGAUGUAGGUCUCACACCUGUGAAAGGAGAGGAGGAAGGAAGGAGACCAGGCAGAAAGAGUCUGAAACUGAAGUACAUUUCUAAGAUCCAGUGUUUGGACAGAGACCAAAUUGCCUAUGAGAGCAGUUCCGUGUCCCAGAGAAAUGAGCCUGGGCUUAUACCCUCGUCAUGCUUAGUCAUUGGCAGGGAGCAGCUUGUGGGAGGUGUGACCUUGGCAUGAACACAGUGGCGGAUCCAGCACUGGGACAUUCAGUCAACUAUGUUUCCCAUCUCAGGAGACGUGAGCAGUACAUUUUCAUGGCUACCCAGCAAACUGUGAGACAUUUCCUCCUUGAGAACACAUCAUAAGGACUUUGAAAAACAAACCAGAACAUUUGUGAUAGUAUAGAUUUUGCACCCCAAAUCAAUGUUCCAUUCCCUUCUUUGACUUUCACUUCCCCCUCUGUUUCAGCUAGACCAAUCAUGUUGAAAACCCCCAGGUUUGUAGAGUUCCUCAUUUGACAAUUAAAAAAAUUUUAUGUGACUGAGUCACAUGCGCUUCCUUUGUUUUAUCUUUUCAAUGAGUUGUUUUCAUUGCUUGGGUUUUCUUUGAUUUCAUGUUUUUCCUAUCUUUACCCAUCCACCAUCGCCUGUUCUUCAUACUGUAUUGCUGAUGUCUGAUGUGGUAUUUGUGGAAUAAAUGGACCAAUAAUUAGUGAAUGGGCUAUAAGAGUCAAACCUUCUUCAUGUCUGUGAGCUCCUUGGUGUCAGAGUCUUUGUCUUAGGGUGAUGACAUAUAAUGGAAAGGCCAUAGGUUUUGUUCUAUGAUUAGACACAAAUCAGCUGUGUGAUCUUGGGCAAAUCGCACCACCUAUGUGAGCCCAGCUUUCUUUUUUUGACUAAUCAAGCCAAUAAUAGUAUCUAUCUCGUUGAAAUGUAAAUGACAGGGUGAUAAUAAAUGUAAAGUUCUGGGCACAGUGUCCAGCACAUUGGAGAUGCUGAACAAAUGACAGGUAAUGAACGAAUAAUGUGUAACACAUAAUGUAAUACAUAAUACAUAACUCAUUAGACUUUGCUCCUUUCCCCGCCCUCCUGAAAGUCCCCUGUCCAUAUCUAGUCACAAAGGAUCCAGGCAAGGACAGGUAGAUGGAUAAAGGGUUGGGACAUAGCAGCAAACGGGCCAGUGUUGAGCACUUACUGUGUGUGCAGCUACUGGGCUAAUCGCUGUGAGACAGGUGGAGAUGACUGAGGUGUACUCCACGUCCUCAAAGAGGUGGCAUUUCAACAUGGCAUUACGUGUUUGAAGGUAUUGAUGGAUGGACACCUGGGGUGCAAGACAGCAUCAUUAUAGGAUGAAUAGGAAUAGUGUUUUGGAAAAUGUUGAGCAGACUGGGAUGUGGGGAAACAGAGGGAAAGACGUAGCUCGAAAGUUAGUUGAGAGGGGAAUCCAACAUGGCAGAGAAGUAGGGGGACCCCAAGUUCCCUCGUCCCUCAAACACAGUAGCAUUGAGGCCAGAGGACUUGGAAUUCCAAGAGUCCGGACUUCAGAGUGACAGAGACGUCUCCAGGAGCCCAUGGGGACAACCUGGUGGGCCAAUAGUGUGUGAUUGGGAACUGGGAGAGAGAAAACGGGCAUAGGCACCACCCGUAGGAAGAGGAGAGAUUCCCUUCUGCAGACAGAGGGAAGAGAAAGAGAGGUUGUGCAAGUGUAGGACUGUAUUUGGACAAGUGAAAAACCACAAACUGGGGGUCAGGAAAAAAACAAAACGGAGAAAGAGCCAAUCUCUAACUGCAAGCUUUCUCCCGAUUGGGGCCCCAGCUGCCCUGUGUGUGCACCUGCGGAGGAGGGGAGCCAGCCCCGGGCUCAGUACCUAGCUCAGAGGUGCAGUCCGCAGUGGGAGAAAGCGAUCUCCUCCCUGGAGUGCUGUGGGAAGAAGCAAGGUGGGGCUUCAGGGAACAACAGCAGGGGCACAGUGGAGGGGGACCCCCUCCCCAUGCCUGGGAACUAUGUAUCUACCUGAGAUUGACACUGACCAAUCAGACAGCCCCUCCUCCAGACCAGAGCUGCCACUGGAUCCAAAGCACCCAGCGGGGCUACUUUGAUGAACACAUCAAAGCACACCUGGUGGAGGGUCCAAAACAUCACUACAAGCACGGAGAUAAAGCAACCAGUCACAACAACAGAGAGCACGGAACACACUCCGAAAACCACCUCCUGAGGGGCCGAGCCCUAGGCAGUGCAUGACCCCUCUUUAAUAUAGUAGUGCUCGCAGGUACGGGACACAUAACAAGCUUUUAAAACACAUAAGGGACAGAAAAGUAGCCAAAAUGAUGACAAGGAAGAAUUCUCCUCAAAAGAAAUUCCGGGAAGAAAUGACAGGUAAAGAAUGGCUCAAAACAGAUAUAAACAAUAUAUCUGAUCAAGAAUUUAGAGUAACCGUCACAGAAAGUUAGUUGGGAUCAAACCCAUGAGGACUCUGAAUGUCCAGCCAAGGAAACUGGAUUUGAUUCUGUAGCCACUGGUAUGUCAAUAAAGGCUCUUGAAGAGAUAAGUGGAAUGACCCAGCUAGCAACUAGAAGGACAAAGUGAGAGUGAACACCUGAAAAUGGCACGUCCAAAUAACCCCAAAGCAGUGAGUCCCCAUCUAUGGGCUGGUUCACACACCUUUGUCAAUUGCUUAUUUGUCAAUAAAUAAUGUCUUUAUUUUCAUUUUCAACCAAUGCAGGGAAUCUCUAAUAAUGAACCACUGGGCCUUGGCAUCAUUUUCACAUAGGAGGGUGAAGGUUUUAAUCCCUGUUGUAAGUGAGUUGACCUCAGUAGAGGGUACAGAGAUCACCUUUGUUUACCAAGUCAUAUUUUUUCAAUCAGCCCGCAUUUUCUGAGCUCGUUGCAAGUCAGGCACUGCGCUGAGGGCCAGGGUGUAAGGGCGAGGGCACCUGCCUGUUCUCGGCAGUCUUCUCAUUUGUUGGGAGAGGGACACAGGCACGCACGUGACUGUGAGCCAAGAAUGGAACUGACGACAAGGAAUUGGAGACCCGGAGAAGUUACGUAACGUGCUUACAACCACACAGCUAGCAAUUGCAAGACCGGGAUUUGAACCCACGCUUGGACUCUGGAGGCCAAGCCUUCACAGUGACACUCUGUUCGAAUAAUGAUUGGCAAAGAAGCUUACAGGUGGAUACUGCUUCUUUCAUAAAGACGAUCUCGCUUUGUCCAUGCAGCCUGUGAAAUAGAGGCCACCAUCUUUACUCCACAGGUGUGAAACGGGGGUCAACAAGCUGAAGAAACUGGUCCAAAUCGGCCCUGCGCCAUUUUGGAAUAGUGGAGUCCGACCGUUGUUGUGCCACUGGGCUGGGGACCGAUUACUGCUCCUGUGAUGUUCCUGGCUCCACUCUGCUUCUACUGGCCCCUCCCUCGCGGAGCAUGCCUUCUCCGAAGACCCCAGUUGAGUCCCCGUGUGGUUUUGUUUGUUUCGACAGUUCUCUUUUCUCUCUCAUUCUCUUCAAUACUCUAUGAUGCAUGAAACUCAUUGUUUCUAUAGGCAUCACGUGGUUCUGCAGAGCUUAGAGUGAGCUACAGUGGACUUCUAGCCUGGGGGGGGGGCGGUCACUGGCAUUUAAGGACAUCAUCGUUGGAAGGAUGGCUCUAGGUGAAUUCAAUCUCUGAUGUCAAGGUCACCUCCUACCUGGGUGUUGAGCUCACCCUUGAUUCACACUUCCUCAGAAGGAAACACAAGGCUGUCCGUAGAUGGAGUUUGCACGAAGUCAUUGCUCCCUGCAAAUUUUAGAAAGGCACCCUGUUUCCUGUUGUUUGUGGUUUUGAACGCUCCAUCACCUGGCCUUGAUGAACCUGUCUAAACCCUCCAGACUGUAGUCUGUCACUUAUGUCAUUUUUUCUCUGGGCUGUCAUAGCACCCUGUGCUUGAGAUAGUCCUUUGACUAGAACUCCCCUCUGUUAACCUUUGGCUUGGCUACCAUGGUUUCAGCUAAGAUGUGACCUAUCAGACAAAAUCUUCCUUGACUUCCUAAACCGCACAUCUCUCCCAUGUCAUGGAAUCUCUUUGAAAAAAAGACUCUCUGUGGGGGCACCUGGGCACCUGGGCUCAGUCGCUUAAGCGUCCGACUUUGACUCAGGUCAUGAUCUCACGGUUAGUGAGUUCAAGCCCUGCGUCAGGCUCUGUGCUGACAGCUCAGAGCUUGGCGCCUGGUUUGGAUUCUGUGUCUCCCUCGCUGUCUGCUCCCCCCACCCCACCUCUCUCUCUUUCUCUAAAAAAUAAAUGAAUAUUAAAAAAAGACUCCGUUCAUCUUAGCAUUCGUUACAUUGUCCUGUUUAUUAUCCUUCUCCAGCACUACGACGUACUGAACUCUUUGAGGGCAGUGGUUCCUAGCAUCUUCUAUAAUGCUUGGCACAUAGUAGGUGCUCGAUGAAUAGCUGUUGAUUAAAUGUUUGCUUCGAUCUCUGAAGGCACCAAAUAUCUUACAAGG